UGCAAGUCGAACGAACUCUGGUAUUGAUUGGUGCUUGCAUCAUGAUUUACAUUUGAGUGAGUGGCGAACUGGUGAGUAACACGUGGGAAACCUGCCCAGAAGCGGGGGAUAACACCUGGAAACAGAUGCUAAUACCGCAUAACAACUUGGACCGCAUGGUCCGAGUUUGAAAGAUGGCUUCGGCUAUCACUUUUGGAUGGUCCCGCGGCGUAUUAGCUAGAUGGUGAGGUAACGGCUCACCAUGGCAAUGAUACGUAGCCGACCUGAGAGGGUAAUCGGCCACAUUGGGACUGAGACACGGCCCAAACUCCUACGGGAGGCAGCAGUAGGGAAUCUUCCACAAUGGACGAAAGUCUGAUGGAGCAACGCCGCGUGAGUGAAGAAGGGUUUCGGCUCGUAAAACUCUGUUGUUAAAGAAGAACAUAUCUGAGAGUAACUGUUCAGGUAUUGACGGUAUUUAACCAGAAAGCCACGGCUAACUACGUGCCAGCAGCCGCGGUAAUACGUAGGUGGCAAGCGUUGUCCGGAUUUAUUGGGCGUAAAGCGAGCGCAGGCGGUUUUUUAAGUCUGAUGUGAAAGCCUUCGGCUCAACCGAAGAAGUGCAUCGGAAACUGGGAAACUUGAGUGCAGAAGAGGACAGUGGAACUCCAUGUGUAGCGGUGAAAUGCGUAGAUAUAUGGAAGAACACCAGUGGCGAAGGCGGCUGUCUGGUCUGUAACUGACGCUGAGGCUCGAAAGUAUGGGUAGCAAACAGGAUUAGAUACCCUGGUAGUCCAUACCGUAAACGAUGAAUGCUAAGUGUUGGAGGGUUUCCGCCCUUCAGUGCUGCAGCUAACGCAUUAAGCAUUCCGCCUGGGGAGUACGGCCGCAAGGCUGAAACUCAAAGGAAUUGACGGGGGCCCGCACAAGCGGUGGAGCAUGUGGUUUAAUUCGAAGCUACGCGAAGAACCUUACCAGGUCUUGACAUACUAUGCAAAUCUAAGAGAUUAGACGUUCCCUUCGGGGACAUGGAUACAGGUGGUGCAUGGUUGUCGUCAGCUCGUGUCGUGAGAUGUUGGGUUAAGUCCCGCAACGAGCGCAACCCUUAUUAUCAGUUGCCAGCAUUAAGUUGGGCACUCUGGUGAGACUGCCGGUGACAAACCGGAGGAAGGUGGGGAUGACGUCAAAUCAUCAUGCCCCUUAUGACCUGGGCUACACACGUGCUACAAUGGAUGGUACAACGAGUUGCGAACUCGCGAGAGUAAGCUAAUCUCUUAAAGCCAUUCUCAGUUCGGAUUGUAGGCUGCAACUCGCCUACAUGAAGUCGGAAUCGCUAGUAAUCGCGGAUCAGCAUGCCGCGGUGAAUACGUUCCCGGGCCUUGUACACACCGCCCGUCACACCAUGAGAGUUUGUAACACCCAAAGUCGGUGGGGUAACCUUUUAGGAACCAGC
rnacentral:rRNA from 1 species